rnacentral:rRNA from 1 species
UACGAAGGGGGCUAGCGUUGUUCGGAAUCACUGGGCGUAAAGCGCACGCAGGCGGAUUGAUAAGUCGGGGGUGAAAUCCCGGGGCUCAACCUCGGAAUUGCCUUCGAUACUGUCUGUCUUGAGUCCGGGAGAGGUGAGUGGAAUUCCUAGUGUAGAGGUGAAAUGCGCAGAUAUCAGGAAGAACACCAAUGGCGAAAGCAGCUCUCUGGGACGGUACUGACGCUGAGACGCGAAAGCGUGGGGAGCGAACAGG